rnacentral:lncRNA from 1 species
GUUCCAAGAGGACGUUGCUAAGCACUUAGGUACAUGCUUAGAAGAUGGCUGCAGGAGGUAAGGGUGCAGUGGGGGCAAUUGCCGGGCUGAGGCGCAUCAUAGUUACUUGGGAGGUGGCAGCCAUGUAACGUGCAAAAAAAGAACUGCAUAAGAUAGGCAGUGGAAGAGAUGAGCUUGGGGAGAGAUUCGAGAAUCAAUCCAUGGAGACUAAGCCCGUACCGAUUCCUGCAUAUUGACUUUGAUCGGAACUUGUCAGGAAAGAAAUUGUUGGACUUGAAGUACUCUUCGCACAAAUCUUGCUACCCCACUUUCAAGACGUAAAUAAUAAAUUUUCCACCAUCACCCAGUCAAGAAUUAGUUUGGAGAACACAUGGAGAACCUGGGCGGAACGUACACAUGCUCAUGUAUUUUAUUGGACAUCAACAGACGAACCAAUCCAGGACAAUAGGUAAACGUGGAAAAGAAUCAGCAGCAGAAAUCCAAAGGUGAAGAGCUUGCGCAGAUCUUCGAGAUUCAAUCCAUAGAAAGCAAGAAAAAAACUGAAUCCAAAACCAAAAGAGAACCUCAUCCUAAUCCAGAGAACCAUAACCAAAGGAGAACCUCAUCUUGAUCCAGAUCUCGGGGGAUGGGGUGAUAGUAGAGAUUUCACGCUGCAAGAUCAGCUUCAGAUUGUUGUUGUUUUAAAUAACAACUUUUCCACCAUCACCCAAUCAAGAAUCAGAUUGGAGAACACAUGGAGAAUCUGGGUGGAACGCACACAUGCUCAUGUGUUUUAUUGGAUAUCAACAGACGAACCAAUCCACGACAGUAGGUAAACGUGGGAGAGAAUCAGUAGCAGAAAUCAAACAAAGGCGAAGAGCUUGCGGAGAUCUUUGAGAUUCAAUCUGUAGAAAGCAAGAAAAAAAAACUGAAUCAAAAACAAAAAGAGAACCUCAUCCUGAUCCAGAGAACCAAAACCAAAGGAGAAUCUUAUCUUGAUCCAGAUCUCGUGGGGAGGGGUGAAAGUAGAUAUUUCAGGCCGCAAGAUCUGCUUCAGAUUGUUGUUGUGUUUUCUAACGGGGAGAGAAGGAGAUAGACAUUGAAGUGGUUCCUUUGGUUUUCUAUAAUUAAGAAAAUAGUGGGCUCAGAUUGUUGUUGUUUUUCCUAACGGGGAGAGCGAAGGAGAUUCUGAUUGACGUGGCUCCUUUGGAUUUCUAUAAACUAGCACAAAUGCCCUUGCGUUGCAACGGAAGAAAAGUGAACAAUAAAAAAAGUGUAGUCCAUUGAUAAAAACACGCGUGGAUACUGUCAAAAAAAGACACGUACGUAAGGUCUUAGAUUAUAAAAUAUGUACAAAGAAAGAACCUAGUGCAAGUAUAUCAUGUCCAAAGAUUAUAACAUUUCCCAAAUAUUGAUGCUUAAGUUAAUAUGUUAUAAUACAAAUAGUCGGUACGAAAUAAAGACAAAUAUUGAUUAGCAUUGUAUCCUAAAUAGUAUUUUUUAAAAUAUUUAAUAUGUAAAAUAACAACAUAUUCAAACUCUGCACAUUUUUCUAAUCAAGUUUCAUAUAUAACAUGUUUAAAUUGAAUUUAUGGUUUAAAAGAUAUUGUUAUUUGAAAAUGCAUAUUUAUUCUGAGUGGACUUCGAGGUUAUUAACGCAUAUGUGAGGGGUGUGCACAAAAAUUUUAAAAAACGAUUCACUCUGAAUAUAAUUUGGACCGCGGGUUAUUUAGCACGAAAGUAAGGGGCUUUUGUGUAAAAUGUGAAAAAACGGUUCGGCCUCACUUAAAAACGUACCACGGGUUAAUUAGAGGAAACUACAGGGGUGUUUUUUGCAAAAAAGCCGCGAUGGACGUCGGAAGCAGUGCGUGCUUUAUUAUUAGGGGAGAAAGAAAAAUAGGCCAACUGGGUUAAUCUUCACGUAAUAAUUUGGUCCCACCAAAAUAAACGGCUCAUAAAUUCUAAUUAACGUGGUAAUUCUUUGAGAGUGCUUAAUUAUAGGUAUAGAUUAUGAAAUGUUCAUAGUACAUAUAUUGGUACUGUAGGUGUCGACAUUUUUAAAUUUAAAUUAGCUCAAAUCAUACAAAGUUUAACUUGACAUAAAUCUAACACGCAAAAUAGAAAAGAUGAGAAGGAGUACAUCUUUUUCGUUCCGAUAUGAUGGUACGUGCUCCGAAGAGAUGGUGAUGGUACACUGCAACGGGGUAUCUUCCUGCAUGACGGGACGCGAUGUGGUUGAAUUAAUGGUCGAGAGAUGGUGAUCCCGAGCUAUCGCGUACACAGAAAGGUUCUCGUCGCAGAGACCAGGCUCCAGUGAGCCUGGUAUACUAAAAAAAUUAG